AUACUCACCUUGCUCUUGGGGGACUGAGGAGAGGGAUGAAUCACAAUGAACCUGAACUUGCCCCUUCUGGCAACAGGAGAGGAGUCAGUCUGGAGGGCACAGGGCAAGGAAGAUGCUCCUUGCCAAAGUGAAGUCCCUGGGUUAGAGGGCCCUCCUCACAGGAUCUUCUCUGGGCCCCACCUUGAGGGCCCAGAGGGCUGGAAAGUGGUGAGCACCAUCGAGGGAGAGGCCAGGUAUGCUCUGGGGUCAUACCAAUUUACCGGUUCAGGGGUCAGAACCAGAAGGGCUUUCCCAUGAUCGUCGCCAGAACUUCCCUGCUGUGCAAGUUACCAAUAAUGGAAAAAGAAGGCACCUGGGGCUGAUUCCAAAAUUCCAACCUGUGUCUUCUCGGUACCCUGACCCAAGGAAAUACAGUUUCUUCCCAAGAAGGCAGGAGCAGAAAACAUCCCAAGACCAGUGGGGCUUUUCUCCAGAUGGGGAUGUGUGCCUCUCCCCGAACAUCGAGCUGGGGUCCCUGACCCCAGCAGGGCAGGGCUCCAGGAGAAAUCUGGCUGUCCACUACUUUCCUGACUUCACACAGCAGGUCCAACAAAAGCAGGAGAAUCUGAAGCCCAAGGUCUUAUCAUUCUGGGGACAGGUCAACAAUUUCCAGGGUGGAAACCCAGCCCAUGAUUUCCCAAGGACAAAGACCUGGGCCACUAGUGAGAGAGAGGGUCCCCAGUGGAGCGUAGGCUGGGGAGCAAAGGACUCCCCGAGCCCAGUCCUGGGAGAGUUACUCCCCAACAGGCCUAACGUCUUGCGGGAACCAACAGAGAAGGCCAGCAGAAACCUUCUACAACAGUGCCAAAAAACAGGCAAACGGUGAAACUUAAACCAGCUCUUAUCAGCAGCUGCUCGGAUGACACAUCGGGGCCCCAGAAACGGUUCCACCCAUUUCGGGUGCGCUUUGCAGACGAAAGCCCCAAGGACAUGGCAUUGCGAUACUGGGAGAGGAACUAUGACGUUCAGAGGAGCCUCCUCAAGAGCCCAGUACCCUAUAAGUCUCCAGAAGUUAUUCCAGGGAAAUUGGGGAUUUGGAUGGAGAAAAUCCCAAGGAAUGGACUUCAGCAGACGAACCUGUGGCGAGAUGAAUUCAUUCGUCCUGGGAGAAUGGAUAACAUACCCAUGUCAUUGCAAGAACUGCCUACUGAUAACCUAAAGAAGAGUCCCACCUACAGCUCUCUGCACACCAGCCCAUUGGCCAUUCUUGACUUCUCUGGUACCAGGACAUUCCAGGACCAGGGCACAGAUCCCCUUAAGAAGAACCCCAUCUACAACUCUCUGCACACCAGCACCUCAAAUAAUAUUGAUUUUUCUGGCACCAGGUCAUUCCAAGACCUUCCCGCCGAUUCCCCUAAGAAGAGUCCUACGUUCGGCAAUCUAUACAACAGUACACUGGCUAACAUUGACUUCUCUAAUUCUAGGCCGUUCCAGGAUCUCUGUAUCGAUCCUGCUAAACAUACCUCUUUGUACACCACCCCAGUAAUCAACACUGAUAGGCCACGAAGCCGGACCCUCAACACUGGAGUCUCCUCAUUGAAUGAGAACUCUCCUUCCUUGUGGGCUCCUAGAAUGGAUAAUACUCUUCUUCAUAUGCAAAAACAGUCUUCUCAUGGGAGUGUUGAGCAGUGUUCUGAUAAACAUUUAAC
rnacentral:lncRNA from 1 species